GACCUCAAAUCAGGUAAGAAUACCCGCUGAACUUAAGCAUAUCAAUAAGCGGAGGAAAAGAAAAUAACAAUGAUUCCCUCAGUAACGGCGAGCGAAGAGGGAUAAGCUCAAAUUUUAAAUCUGUUGGGUUCCACUUAACAGAGUUGUAUUUUGAAGAAACGUUUUCUGCAUCCAGGAUUAGCCUAAAUCCUUUGGGAUAAGGUAUCAUGGAGGGUGAGAAUCCCGUUCAUGGUUAAUCUUAAGGAAGCUCUACGAUACGUUUUCCAAGAGUCGAGUUGUUUGGGAUUGCAGCUCAAAAUGGGAGGUAAAUUUCUCCUAAGGCUAAAUAUUGGCGAGAGACCGAUAGCGAACAAGUACCGUGAGGGAAAGAUGAAAAGAACUUUGAAAAGAGAGUUAAACAGUACGUGAAAUUGUUGAAAGGGAAACGAUUGAAGUCAGUCAUACCAACGGGAAAUCAACCUUUUGAGCUCGGUCUCGUGGGUUUUGAAGAGUUUCAAAGCCUUCGGAUUCGCGGGAUUGGGAUCACUUGGUGUACUUUUUCGUUCGGUUAGUCAACAUCGGUUUUGAAUGUCAUAAAAUGACUGGAGGAAUGUAGCUUCGAUCUCGUAUUGAAGUGUUAUAGCCUUUGGUAGAUGUGAUGUUUGAGACCGAGGAUUGCAACGGAUACCCUUCAGGGCUAUUCGUCUGAUCUCUGAUACGUUGCCUUGAUGUUGAAAGCUUGCUUAUGAUGUUAGGGUAUUACGGUCAAAAGGUUAGAACGAAUUACAUUCGUUAAGGAUGUUGACGUAAUGACUUUAAACGACCCGUCUUGAAACACGGACCAAGGAGUCUAACAUAUAUGCGAGUGUUUGGGUGAUUAAACCCUUGCGCGUAAUGAAAGUAAUUUUGGUGAGAUCCGGGAAAAAAUUUUCGGAGCAUCAUCGACCGAUCAGGAUAUUU
rnacentral:rRNA from 1 species